rnacentral:rRNA from 1 species
CCUACGGGUGGCAGCAGUAGGGCAUAUUGCUCAAUGGGGGAAACCCUGAAGCAGCAACGCCGCGUGGAUGAUGAAGGUUUUCGGAUUGUACACUCCUUUUGUUAGAGAAGAUAAUGACGGUAUCUGAGGAAUAAGCACCGGCUAACUCCGUGCCAGCAGCCGCGGUAAUACGGAGGGUGCAAGCGUUACUCGGAAUCACUGGGCAUAAAGAGAGCGUAGGCGGGAAAGCAAGUCAGAUGUGAAAGCCUAGGGCUUAACCAGCGAACUGCAUUUGAAACUGUUAUUCUAGAGUAUGGGAGAGGUAGGUGGAAUUCUUGGUGUAGGGGUAAAAUCCGUAGAGAUCAAGAGGAAUACUCAUGGCGAAGGCGACCUGCUAGAACAUAACUGACGCUGAUGCUCGAAAGCGUGGGGAGCAAACAGGAUUAGAUACCCCUGUAGUC